rnacentral:rRNA from 1 species
GGAGUCACGCCAGAAAUCUUACCCGGAGAGACAGCAGAAUGAAGGUCAAGCUGAAGACUUUACCAGACAAGCUGAGAGGUGGUGCAUGGCCGUCGCCAGCUCGUGCCGUGAGAUGUCCUGUUAAGUCAGGUAACGAGCGAGAUCCUCGCCACUAGUUGCUAUCAUUAUUCUCAGGAAUAGUGGGGCGAAUUAGUGGGACUGCCGUUGUUAAAACGGAGGAAGGAGGGGGCUACGGCAGGUCAGUAUGCCCCGAAACUCUGGGGCCACACGCGGGCUGCAAUGGUAGCGACAAUGAGCUCCAAACUCGAAAGAGAGUGGCAAUCUCUAAACGCUACCACAGUUAUGACUGAGGGCUGUAACUCGCCCUCACGAAUAUGGAAUCCCUAGUAACCGCGUGUCAUUACCGCGCGGUGAAUACGUCCCUGCUCCUUGCACACACCGCCCGUCGUUUCAUCGAAGUUUGCUUUUAGCGAGGUGAUGUUUAAUUGACAUUAUCGAACUUGAGGUAAGUGACGAGGGAAAAGUCGUAACAAGGUGACCGUAGGGGAACCUGCGGUCGGAUCA